rnacentral:lncRNA from 1 species
GGGGUUCAGUCUGCCGCUGCAAAUACCAAAAGCUGUCCUCAUUGAGUCAUCCCUCCCAGAGCAGGAAGAGCAGAGAUAAAACAGCAUGUAAGCAUCUCUGCAGUUGCUGUCCCCAGAGCCCACUUCCUGGAUAUUGCCAGCUGCCUGGACCAACCUUUCCGAAAGAUCAGCCAGGUCACAGUGAGGGUCAAAGGUGAGGCAACACCCGGCCUGCUUCAGCUUGCCCCCCGUGGGCUGCACCCACUGUCCAACCAGUCCCAAUGAGAUGAACCAGCAGGAGGCCACUGGAGGCUCCAAGGGCUCUGAAAUGUUGAGAACUUCCCUGCAGGUACCAGCGAAGAGGGCAAGAACACAGCACUACUUCCUUGGAUACUGUUUCCCUCCUCAGAGGGGUUUUCUGAGCUGCCCUGGGUCCUGUGAGGAAGAUCUCCCCUUCCUGUAAAGACACCAGUCCUACUGGAUCAGGGCCCACCCGUGUGACUUCACUUUUACUUGAGUACCUCUCACAGACCCUAACUCCAAAUCAGGUCACUUGCUGAGGUACUGCAUGUGAAGACUUUGACAUUUGAAUUUUGAGGGGGCCACCGUUUAACCUGAACCACCAAGGACAGAGCCAAAGACCCUGGGUGACAGGCCCAGAACAGGACCUGGUGGAGGCUCUUCUUUAGGGGAGAGAGGGAAAUGGGAGCCACCACUGGCAGAGCCUGAAGGCAGGGCAGCCAGAAAGAAGCUGUGGGAGUCCCCACCAUGGAAGACCCUGCCGAGCAUCCUGUGUCUCCUGAAGCAGACCCUGACAUGAGGACUGGGGGCACGUGUUUAUUAAGGGCGAUCCCCGGAAGGAGGAGAUAACCAGGCAGAAGUCCUAGCAGAGUAUGCCCACGCUGGUUAGUGCUGCUGCAAAGAUGAGCCGAAGACCAUGAGAGACCUCCAGGUGGUCCUUCUGGGGAGAAGAAAUGGGUUUUGGCCCCAAAUCCUUCUGCUGCAUUUUUCCCCUAUCCCUGGGAAGCCAUGAGACCUCAAACCUGUGUUCCCAAGGAGGCGAGCUGCUGUUCCCAGGUGAUGAUAUGAUGUGCUUGGGGAAAGUAAGUGGCUGCCAGACAUGGCUGAGAGCUGUUGUCACUGCCGUCAAGUGCAUGUCUCCAAGCCAUAUCACACGGCGUCCCUCGAUGUGAGGCCACAUGGCAAGUGGGCCGUGGAUCUCCCUCUGCCCUUUGCAAGCACGUAAGACAGCAGAUUUUGCAGAUACCUUGUGGCGCAGGGGAAUUUCCUUUGGCCAGGUCUGAAGAAAUAAAGCAGCAGGCACCGAGAACAAAGCCAAGGCUUUCAAAAGACAAGGAGCCAAAAAACUUACUCAAAAUAAAAGUAGUUUUAAAAUG